CGAAACUCGAGAAGAGUAUGAUGGUGAAUACGUGGCUUCAUUGAAACGAUUGAAAAUGGACGAGAAGAAAGAGAGAUCUAAAACAGGAGGUGGACAGUGCAAUACACAGCUAUCAGAUAUGGACGCUCGGAUACUAGCUAUGGUGGAGCCCCAAGCUAGACCCCUGUGUAACAUAUUUGACUGUGACAAUGUGUACCACGGAGAUGUAGUUUUGUCCCCCACUCGUGGACUAAUCGUUGUGUCACCUCCAACCCUCCCAGUUCAC